rnacentral:tRNA from 1 species
GACACUUUGGCCGAGUGGUUAAGGCGAUUGACUCGAAUGGGCAGCAGUCCGAUCUAUCAAUUGGGAUCUCCCGCGCAGGUUCAAAUCCUGCAGGUGUCG